rnacentral:rRNA from 1 species
ACUCAAAGGAAUUGACGGGGACCCGCACAAGCAGCGGAGCGUGUGGUUUAAUUCGAGGCUACGCGAAGAACCUUACCAGGGAUUGACAUGCACGUAGUAGGGAAGCGAAAGCAGACCGACCCUUCGGGGCGCGUGCACAGGUGAUGCAUGGCUGUCGUCAGCUCGUGCCGUGAGGUGUUUGGUUAAGUCCACUAACGAGCGCAACCCUUAGCGCCAGUUAUACGUGUCUGGCGCGACUGCCGGUAUCAAGCCGGAGGAAGGUGGGGAUGACGUCAAGUCAGCAUGUCCUUUAUACCCUGGGCGACACACACGCUACAAUGGGCCGUACAAUGGGUUGCCAAGCCGCGAGGCGGAGCCAAUCCUGCAAAGUGGCCCUCAGUUCGGAUCGCAGGCUGCAACUCGCCUGCGUGAAGUCGGAGUUGCUAGUAACCGCGGGACAGCUAUACCGCGGUGAAUACGUUCCCGGGUCUUGCACACACCGCCCGU